AAAUUGCGAUAACUAAUGUGAAUUGCAAACUCUGUGAAUCAUUGAGUCUUUGAACGCAUCUUGCGCCUUUUAGACCUCUAAAAGGCAUGUCUGUUUGAGCAUCAUUUGAAUCAUCACAUACCUUUGUAUUCAUACAUUGGCAGUGGACUUGAGUGUUGAACGCCUAUGCAUUCUCACUUCAAAUGCGGCAAGUUUUAAAGCUGCGUGGCAACACGACUAGCUGGCUUUAUUAAUAAUAUUGCCUGCGCUUUAACGUCUGUUACCAUCUAAGCGCACUUUACCAACUGUGCAAACUAGAAAACGGCAUUCGUGCCAACAUCUUUGAUCUCAAAUCAGACAAGACUACCCGCUGAACUUAA
rnacentral:misc_RNA from 1 species